GUACACUCCUACGGGAGGCAGCAGUGGGGAAUUUUGGACAAUGGGCGAAAGCCUGAUCCAGCAAUGCCGCGUGAGUGAAGAAGGCCUUCGGGUUGUAAAGCUCUUUUGUCAGGGAAGAAACGGUGAGAGCUAAUAUCUUUUGCUAAUGACGGUACCUGAAGAAUAAGCACCGGCUAACUACGUGCCAGCAGCCGCGGUAAUACGUAGGGUGCAAGCGUUAAUCGGAAUUACUGGGCGUAAAGCGUGCGCAGGCGGUUUUGUAAGUCUGAUGUGAAAUCCCCGGGCUCAACCUGGGAAUUGCAUUGGAGACUGCAAGGCUAGAAUCUGGCAGAGGGGGGUAGAAUUCCACGUGUAGCAGUGAAAUGCGUAGAUAUGUGGAGGAACACCGAUGGCGAAGGCAGCCCCCUGGGUCAAGAUUGACGCUCAUGCACGAAAGCGUGGGGAGCAAACAGGAUUAGAAACCCGAGUAGUCCCA
rnacentral:rRNA from 1 species